UACGGAGGGUGCGAGCGUUGUCCGGAAUCACUGGGCGUAAAGGGCGCGUAGGCGGCGCGGGUAGUCGUCGGUGAAAGCUCAGGGCUCAACCCUGAGUCGGCCGGUGAUACUCCCGUGCUCGAGCACUGUAGAGGCAGGUGGAAUUCCGGGUGUAGCGGUGGAAUGCGUAGAGAUCCGGAAGAACACCGGUGGCGAAGGCGGCCUGCUGGGCAGUAGCUGACGCUGAUGCGCGAAAGCGUGGGGAGCAAACAGG
rnacentral:rRNA from 1 species